AAUAUAAACUGUCUCUUGAUUAUAAAUAGAAUUUAAUUUUUUAAUUAAAAAGUUAAAAUAAUUUAAAAAGACGAGAAGACCCUAUAGAGUUUUAUAAUUUUAUUAAUUAAGAUUAUUUAAUAAGUUAAGAAUUGAGAUUAUUAAAAUUAUUUUGUUGGGGUGACAGAAAAAUAAAUUCAACUUUUUUUUAGUGUAUACAUAUAUAAGUGGUUUUUUGAUCCAGUAUUAUUGAUUAUAAGAAAAAAUUACCUUAGGGAUAACAGCGUAAUUUUUUUUUUUAGUUC
rnacentral:rRNA from 1 species